rnacentral:rRNA from 1 species
UGCGCAGGCGGGUUAUUAAGUCAGAGGUGAAAUCCCACAGCUCAACUGUGGAACUGCCUUUGAUACUGGUUGUCUUGAGUUACAGUGAAGUAGAUAGAAUAUGUAGUGUAGCGGUGAAAUGCAUAGAUAUUACAUAGAAUACCGAUUGCGAAGGCAGUCUACUAACUGUUAACUGACGCUAAGGGACGAAAGCGUGGGGAGCGAACAGGAUUAGAUACCCUGGUAGUCC